GAUAGCAAAGCUAGAACUUGAAAUCAGGUCCACCAAACCCAAGCUCACUGUACAUCUACUGUCCUCCCAGUUCUUACUCCCUUUGGGACCAAAGGGACCACAUUAGCAGACACAGCCUGGUGGGUUCCACUAUCGGUUUUCAGGGUCAAGCUGCUGCCUCCACACUGAGGAUAGUGGAACCAGAAGAGCUCAAAGUCACAAACAGCAACAGAAACUAUGGGUCCUGGUCUGCUGGCACCUGAUAGAAAGAGAUGAGAUCCAUUCUUAAAUGGAACACUAACAGGAUGGCAUCUAAUGAAUGACUGAGACUUUAGUCAGACUGAGUGGAAACACUGGAGCCAAUCAGAGCUAUGUCUCAGAAGAAAUACACAAAUAUCCAGGAUGUCAUACCAAGGAGAGGAGUGAUUUGGGCUGCCUCUCCCUCCUCCACAGUAACCUCCCUCACCUAAGUGAUCUUGUCAAAGUAAGCCAUUGCUCAAACUACCGUCCUCUCCUACCCAAGCCAACUGCUCCAAUUUUCUCCUAUUCUAACAGCAUUGGAAAUAGCAAGGGGUGGGGGUAGAAUGGAAAAUGACAUUCAAUAACUGAAGAUACUUUUUUAUGUCCCAUACUACCUGAUUGUCAUGAAACAACUAAGAGCUCUUCCAACUUGGCAUCAAAGUUUAAAAUGACUUUUUUUUUUUCCAGAUGGGGUCUCAUUAUGUAGCCUCUGGCUGUCCCAGAACUUGCUUUGCAGACCAGACUGGCCUCAAACUCACGAAGUUCCACCUGCCUCUGCCCUUCAAGUGCUAGGAUUAACAGUGUUUGUCACUGGCCAUACUCUGUUCUUGUUGUUGUUAUUGUUAUUGUUUAGAAGACAAGAAAGCAUUUUCUUAACACUCGAUACAUUGAUGAUUCUCAGUUCUUCCUUCAUGAAUCUGAUUGGAACAAAAUGUGGGACAUUUGGUUGCCCUCUCCCAUGUCCUCACAGACUGAAGUCAACCUUGAGCCACCCACCUUACCACCUAGGUCUCGGUUUCUUUAUCUGUAGAGACAAUGUUGUAGUCUCCAGUGCACCCCAGCAAGUUUCACAACCACGGCCUCACAUAGACUCAAGGGUUAGCAUCUCUCCAGGUAACUUAGCAAAUCUGAAGUCUCCUGU
rnacentral:lncRNA from 1 species